UACGAAGGGGGCUAGCGUUGCUCGGAGUGACUGGGCGUAAAGGGCGCGUAGGCGGAUUGUACAGUCAGGCGUGAAAUUCCCGGGCUCAACCUGGGGGCUGCGCUUGAGACGUGCGAUCUUGAGUGGGGAAGAGGGUCGUGGAAUUCCCAGUGUAGAGGUGAAAUUCGUAGAUAUUGGGAAGAACACCGGUGGCGAAGGCGGCGACCUGGUCCUUGACUGACGCUGAGGCGCGAAAGCGUGGGGAGCAAACAGG
rnacentral:rRNA from 1 species